rnacentral:rRNA from 1 species
UACAGAGGGUGCGAGCGUUAAUCGGAAUUACUGGGCGUAAAGCGUGCGUAGACGGUUAUUUAAGUCGGAUGUGAAAGCCCCGGGCUCAACCUGGGAAUUGCAUUCGAGACUGAAUAGCUAGGGUGCGGUAGAGGGAAGCGGAAUUUCUGGUGUAGCGGUGAAAUGCGUAGAUAUCAGAAGGAACAUCAGUGGCGAAAGCGGCUUCCUGGACCAGAACUGACGAUCAGGCUCGAAGGCGUGGGGAGCAAACAGG